rnacentral:lncRNA from 1 species
UUCAGCACCGACUUGGGGGCCGUGUACGACGCCGCCAUCCUCCGAGCAAUUUCAUUGUCCAUGGCCUCCGCGUUGUCAUCGUCGUCGUUCACAGGGAUGGACGAGACGUAUGCGCCCUUGUCGGUGCCGCCGUAGAGGUCUGUGUCGAAGGUGACGGAGGUGAGGGAGGCCAAUUGCUUCUCCAUCCUCUUCCUCUCUUCCUGCGUCUUCUCUAUCUCGUCGUCGGACGCCAUGACUAGGGUUUUGGUAUCGAGAAUUUAGUACCAGGAUUUGAGCUGGGAUUGAGAUUUUAAUUCAGGAAUUUAGGGUUUUUGGGUACUCAAUUUACUGACUUUGAAUCUUAUUCGGGAGAUUUCCCCGAUUCCAUUAGUAGAUCGGAUCUCCGUAUAAAUUAGGGGUUUGCAUUUCGGGUAUGCGAUGGGCUUGGGUUUUCCUUUUGUGGCCCAGUAAAAGAAAAUAAACCGACAUGCACAAAUCCAUUGGAAUAAGGAUUGAAUAUCCCUUUGUUUACGGGUGGGGAAUGGAAUGACAGGAAUGGGAAUUGCAUUCAUUCCAAUUGAUUCAUGUGUUUACUAAAAUUGUGUGUGGGGCUCACAAAAAAUAAGGAAUCAGAUUCAUGAUUUGCCUGGAAUCAAAUUACCAACCAAUAGGUGGUAUUUGGAUUCCGGAAGAAAAGCUCAACCCGGAAUCAGUUUUUUCUACCCAACAUACCCUUAUCUCCUUCUGUCGUCUCCGGUAGCACAGCACCCACUUUGCUGGCAAUUGGUUAUCGAACCGGCAGUUUAGUGCAACCUGCAAUUUCUUUCCAGGCAGUGAGUUGAUUUAAAACUGCACAAUGAAAGUCAUCGGGAUUGAACUAGCCUUCAGGUUUCAAUUUUCAAAUCCUGAUGGAACCAGCCUUUGAAAAUCCCUUUGGAACCAGGUUUCAAGUUUCAAAUCCCAUAUGCUCUUCCUUAUGAGUUCAUUCCCUUUGAAAAUCCUGAUGGAUCCAGCCUUCAGGUUUCAAACCAAAACCCAGUGAAGAAGCAGACAUAAGAGAAAGACUGAGACAGAGGACCAAUAUAAUAAAUAAAUAUUUGGAAUUAAUUAGUUAUUUGGAAGAAGAAGAAUCACAAGAAGAAGAAAGAAUAAUCAGAAGAGAAGAAGAAGAGUCAGAAGGGAAGGAGAUGAGGAUUUUUAAGGGGCGAGGAGAGGGGGGGGGGGGCAGGCGUUCGUAGAAUUUGUAUACGGUGGGGGAUUUUUAUAUGGUAAAUAAAGACUUUUUAAGAUAAAUAAUUGUAUUAGUGUCAUAUAUACAAAAUAAUUGUGUUAUUAAAGACUUCUUAUAUGGUAAUUAAAGGCUUUUUUUGGUAUUAUUAAUUAGUUAAAUAAAAUUUAGGAAAAAUUAGGUUCUCAUCCUUCAUUUUGCUACUCCAUUGAUUAAAAUCUUAUUCCUUUUCAAUUUUUGAUCAAGGUCCUUGGAGAAAUAAUAUCAUUAAUUAUUUCAAUAAUAAAAUAUAAUUUUUAUUUCUAAAUAUAUUCAUUUAAUGUUAAAAAUGUUACAAUUAGUAUAUUUAUAUUUAUAACUAAAUUUUUUAUCGUAUAUUUUUAGUUUUAGUUUGUACCCAUUUUUAAUUUGUAAUUUUUUUUAAUUUGUAACAAUUUUUUUUUCAAUUUUAAUUUGUACCCAUAUAUUAAAUUCUUUUUUUUCCCAUAUUUUUAAAGUUUAUUUGUAUUUGUACCCAUAUAUAUAUAUUCUUUUUUACUUUUUAUUUUGCUAAAUGUACCCAUGCUAAUUAUAUGUACCCAUUCAUGUAUAACUUUUUAAUGUUAAAAUAUACUCAUUCUUAAAUAUACCAAUUUGUUAUAUGUAAAAUGUACCCUUUUUUUUUAUAUAAAAUCUAUUCAAUUUUUUUUUCUAAUCCUUUUUUAAACUAAUAUGGGUACAUUCUUUUUUCUUUGAUUUUAAAAUGUAUCCAUGUCAAGUUUAAUCCAAGAAAUUUACUAAUGUUGUUAAGCCUAAUAUCUUUUUUUUUUUUUGGUCAUUUUGAAGAAUGUACACCAAGUUUUGAUACAAUAAUAUUUUUGGUUAAUUUUGAUGAAUGUACCCAUGUUUAUAUAUAUAUACACACACACACACACACACAAUAGUAUAUUUAUAUUUUAAUAUUUUUAAUCCCACAAAUUAUGGUUUUUUAUUUAAAAUCUCAUUUAUAUAAUCAACUAAAAUUUCUAAUUUUUAAUUUAAAAAAUAUAGUAACGUACAUAGAAAUAAAUUAUCACAUUAAUUUCAGGGACCUCGAUCAAAAAUUAAAAACCAACAAGGUUUCAAUCAAAAAAUAUUCAUAGCUAAGGACCGCAUUCAAAGUCUCCCUAAAAUUUAUAUCUAUUUUGUACAAGGGUAUUUUAGUAAUCAAACUGCUUUUGAUUCCGAUUCAUGUGAAUUGGUAAACAGCAAUAUAGAAAAUACAUCAUUAGCACUCUGAUCCCAUACAGUUUUAGUAAACAACUUCAACAAGAAUCUGAUUCUGAUUCCACCUCAUUUCAAUUCCUCCUCAAUUCAAUUCCUCAUCAAUUCAAUUCCCUUUAAUCUGAUUACGAAUUAGUAAACGCACCCUUAGUUUAUUGUUGUAACAAGUUGUUGUCAAAGUUGGAAUGGGGAAAAAGUCUGAGUUCCCGCCUAUCAGAUUACUUUUGACUACCACUUGAGUCGAGUUCUCGCUCAACCAUCUCGACUUGCCACCACAAAAUCAAGUUAGUUACUCGCACGUGUUCUUACAUCAAAGUUACAUAUUGACACGCCUCGAUCCCUAUAUUCCCUGAAUACCAGGAUAGGCACGUGCUGGCUGAUACCCGAAGGUGACGAAAGUCACUUAUUGAAUGCAAAUGCUGAGACCAAGGAAUUGAUAAUGUUUACAAAUGUAAAAGAAUAAAGAAUAUGCAUUUAAGGAACAUGUUUAGAGCACACAUCUAAUCUAGAACACUAAAAAAAUUAAUAUAAAAAUUGGUUGAACAAAGGAGUGGGUCCUACACCGAGAUGACUCGAAGAUGCCGAUGCGGAAAUGUUUAGAUGCCGGGAUUGUAUGCCUCAUACGUUGUGUCUUAAUCUUCGUUUCUAAAACUUGAAUGGGGGCGCAAAACAAAGGUGAGUGGACCAAGUUCAUAUAUACAAUAAUAAUAAAACAGUUAUCAAGAUACUAACCCCCACAGUUUAUAUAAAGAAAACCACUAGCAUAAUAAGUGAUAAUUUUACUGAAAACCCUAGCGUGCCAAAAACAUCUCAAAAGACAUAUCGCGGAAAUCAAAACAUCAAACGUCUCAUAGAUCGUCUGGUAGCAUGAUGAACUGCUAGUAAGAUCACUGAAUAAAUAUACCUCCCGGCCCUAUGCCAGCACUGUGGUCUCUGUGCCUGUAGCCAGAGAUUACCAACUCCCGGCCCAAUGCCUGCUCCGUGUCCCUCAGCCCGUAGCUAGAGAGUAUUUCUCCUAGCCUAUUUGCCAACACCAAAUCCUCGCCCCAGGCGGUAUAGUGUCCACUAGUACGCACAAGUAGUUACGUCUCUCAUAAAUAACCACUUCAUAGUAUAAAGCCAUCCAUCGUCUAUACUAUAAAGAGGGGGUUUCUAAAACAUGUUCUAGCAUCCUAUCGUCAUCCAUCAGAUAGUCUACCAGUUCAUGUUUUUUUUUUAUAGAAAAUACGAUAUAUUAAAAUAUAGCUCAAUAUAGGCCAACAAUUAAUUCCUCACAAAAAACGAGAUGAUAAACAGCAUAUUCCAUAAACAUGUUUAACAUAAAAUUAGUUCAUAAACUCGUAAGGCAUGCAUUUCAUUUAUGCAAAUUUUAGAAGGGGUCCACUCACAGAUACUCAGUAGUAGCAGAGUUGUGCGGAAAAGGAUUAAGAAAAUCCCCACUAGCAACUUCACCUAAGCACAAAAAUGUACAAUUUAUCAAACUACCCAACUAUAGAAUUUCAAGAAAUGGAAAUGGGUCUUGGGUUUGGAUCCGAAUUAGGGUUUAUGUUUAGGUUAAAUAGGGUUAGGACCUAUUGGGUUUUGGGUUUGAAUAGUUUAAGAACAAAAAGGGUGGUUUGGGCUUGAGCCCAAACCCACACAACACACACAUACACACGCCAGCACACACACAUGCACGACACAACACACACACACGGCACAACACACACAUACACACGUGCACCACACACACUCACACACACUCACCAAAAACAUAUUGAGGGGAGGAGAAGUCGAAUCCACCUCGGAUUCGAUGACUUUUGCUCAGAAACUGCAAAGCAGUAUGAGGGACUUGCAUUCAUUAAAAACAAAGGUUUCCACUUGAAUUUCCAUCACCAAAACCUCAUAAAUAUACAUAAGAACUAACCCAGAUGCACUGCAGUAGGUUUUGGGAAGAGAUGGACCUCGAACUCGUUGGAGUUCAUCCUCAUUCUCUUGUCAGAUUCUGGAAACAAUAAAUAAGGAACAUGCAUGUUAGUUCUUAUUAAUUUCUAGCCAAAAACCACAUGCAAGAAGGAGAUUAGUCACCAGGGAUGUUUUUCAGAGGAGUCCGUGCACUUCCAGUCACAAACUUGCUAGAGUUUGCUCGGAGAAGACCACUGAAAUCUGAGCUCCACCUUAGGAAGCUCGGGGCUCUCGGAGCUCACAAGUUCAAACCUUUCCUCAUCGCUGAUCACACAUACAAAGGUAUAAAUAGACUCCCUAGGCCAUGGUGAUGCAGGAAAUAAGGGUUUGGGGUGGGGUUGAGUGACGGAGAAUGGCAAAGGUGGUGUCUCUCGGUACUAGAAAGAGAACAAAGAGAUAGAGUUAAGAGUUAGAGAGAGAAAGUUUCAGAAAAUGGGAAGGCAGGUCACGGGGUGGGGGAAAAGGGAAGAAAAAAAUGGGGAGUUAGGGUGCUGCCAAGUGGCAUCUAGGGAAUGGAGAGAAAAUAAAGAAUAAAAAUAUUUGAUUUCAAUAAAACUUUGGGAAUUUAUAAAUUACAUAUAAAUUCGGGGGUGGGGUUUAACAUGUAUUCACUCCAGUUAUCUUGUACUUUAGAUUUAUUGGACUUGUUUUGAACCUUAAAUUCUUGAGUGUUCUCUUAGCCUUCUUGGCAUAGCUAUUCGCUAAUUCGAGAGAAAUUUUCAAUGAAUCAGCUCGUUUAGGCGUUGUGAAUCACAUUGUUCUGGUUUUUGGUGUAUCGUCACUUUUGUACCUCAUAGUGAUGUGCGUUUCAAUUCUAAGACUUGUGAAAUUUUCUUGAAGGCCUUGAGUACUAAGUUGUUUGUCUUGUAUCGCAUUUUUAUUCGUAGACAGUUGGAUAGUCUGAACGAACUAUCUUGACCUUGGAAGCCGUGUUGUGUUAUUUUGAUUUGUGGUUUUUGAAUGAUUAGAAUUUGUACCGACCUCUUUUGGAGUAGUUACAACGAUAAUUUUUAUUUUCAGUUUGAGUAUGGCACUAUUUGAAACUUGGUUUGAUAGAUUCUAUUGGCAGCACUGGUUGGAUAGUGGAGUUCUAUGAAUUGGUUUUCGGAUGUUUGAUUUCUUUUCGUUAUGGGAAACUGUGUGCUUAUGUUGUUGUCAACUUGGGUUUGGACAAAUUGGUAUGUUUGCACCCUUAGGAAAUUACUACUUGCUUAUUGAGACAACUAUGUGUUGUCGAUAUCGCGGGUGGCCGACUGUGAUAUCGAUGGCUUAUUCGUUGGGUUCGUUAAGCAAGUGGAUUGGUAGACCUGUCUACAAUAGUUGUUAUUGUUUAGUUAUUGUUGGGGUAUGUGACGUUACAAAUGCUUGGGCGAGACCUACUUUCAUUUUCGAUUUUGAUUUUCAGUACAAGUAUUUUGAUUUACCCUAUAUUAGUUAUAUAUAUUGUAUUUUUGACGUUACAGAUAUUUGGUCGAGUCAUUUCCACUUUCAUUGGUAAGUUCAGUAUGAGUUUUUCAACCUUUAUGUUAGUACAUAUAUAUUUUGACGUUAUCGUUUUAUACAUGUUAUUAUAUAUUUUCGACAUUAUAUCUGUAUAAAGUAUGUUUCUACUUUUAUACUGAUGGGGGAAGAAGGAAUGCGCCUGGAGGCAUCAAAGAGAAACCAUUGCAACCCGCUUUUGACUGUGUGACAUAUUCUCUUUGAUGCAACCACUCUGACUUGAUUUAUUCUUUAUACAUAUAUUCCUUCAUAUCUUCGAGUAUUUAUGUAUAGUAAGUUAUUUCAAAUUGCGAGAUGAAUUUUAUUUUAACGGGGGUAGAUUGUAACAACGCGUCCCGAAUAAUCUCACGGAUUUUAGAACGGAAAGGCGUUAUGAUAAUUUCAUUGGAGUUAGGAUAGAUAUUUGAAAAAGCUACUAUUUGGGUGUUAAAUGGUGUGCCAAGUGGGGCCCACUUUCUUUUUUGUCCCCCUGCCCACUUGUACUUCUCUCUUUCCCCUCCUCGUGACAACUCUCGGACCACUCACUAUUUCCAUCUUUUUCCCUCCUUACAUCCAAUUUCCCUUGAACACCACACACACACACACACAUACACCCAUUCCUUCCGUCGAACACCAUCACCCACCACCAUCGUUGGGCCUUGCUAUCUCUAUCUCUCUCUCUCUCUCUCUCUCUCUCUCUCUCUCUCUCUCUCUCUCUCUCCCUCCCUCAUUCUCUGUGAAGCACAGAGACCACCCAACAUGCUUAGCACACCCAUUCGCCGACAUAUGCUACUUUUCCGACUUGGUAAGGUUUUAAACCCAUUUUCUUCAUCCUUCCUUCGUCUCGAGUUGAAGACUAACUCCCUUGUACAUGUGCUGGACACUAAAUAUGAAAAAACCUACUCGGGGAAACUUCCCUAGUUUCCGGCGAGGAACCCGUAGCUUGCACCUUGUUCCUUGGGCUUCAUUUUGGUAUAUUACGUGAUAGGUUUUAGUUGGGUUUUGGGGUUGAACGAAGCUGGAAAGGCUCUGGCUUUCUUCUUCCUCGAAACGGCCAACUCGUCCUGGAAACAGGUCAAACCCGACUCGGAAACCCUAGAUCGGCCCAACUCGUUGGGCCAUGGAACCCUGCCCAAUUGGCAAGCCUAACCCCAAUAAUCUUGAAAACCAGAUCCAUUAGCCCAAACCCGAAACCCUUUAGCCCAGUAACCUGCCUAUCCCAAAACCCUGGCCAACGCGUGGGUGGCGCGUGAAGCACACACGCCUUCACUGGAGGUACUAUGGCAGCGCCUGCGACUUUUUCCUCCUUAGGUUUUUCGACGUCCUGAAUACGUUUCCGACAUUCAUUUUCCCAAAUUCAAUCGUUGUAGUAUAGUGUUAUUAAUUGGUACCUUUAUGUGCUUAGGUGCUUUUGUUUAUGGUAUUUUUGUCCUUUCUUAUUUGCACGGCUCUUCGACGACGAAGUAUUUGUGAGUGGAGCCUCUCUAAAAAUGCAUACAUGAAAGCAUGAUUUUAUGGUUAUGUUAUAUGAAACGUUUAUGAGUAAAUUAGAUUUACACUUUAUGAAAUAUCAUGCUCUAUCGAAAAACUGUUCAUUGAGACAUUUAUGAUAUGAUGUUUGUAUUGAGCUCCGAUGAUAUAUAUAUAUAUAUAUAUUGGAAAGAUUAUGUUCAUGAUUUUAUGUGCUUACUUAGUGGUUAUCCAUAUUAUGAGCCUACGGGCGAUUGAUACUUAUAUUUGGCUUUAGUCGGGUGAUGUAGUGGCUUCGGUUGGAAGAUAUUCAUAUAUUUGGCUUCGGUCGGGUGAUGUAGUGGCUUUGGUCGAUUAUGAUAACACUACUAAGCACAUUAUAUAUGAUAUAUGUUUUAUGAAAGGUUUUAUGGCAUGCUAGGGUUUCAGAAAACCUAUUACUUACUAUGUUAUUUAGUUUUCAUAAACUUUGGGGGUUAUUAGAUUAGUAAAUAAUUGUUUCAUUACUACUUACAUAUCAACUUGGUCCACUUAUAUUUUGUUUUGCGGGCCUCAGGACUUAGAUUCGAGGCGUACAAUCUCGGCAUUAAGGCACUCCCGCAUUAGCAUCUUUGAGUCCUCUUGAUGUAGGACUCAUUCAUUUGUUCAUUCAAUUUUAUAUUAUUCAUUUUUAGUGUCUUGGAUUAGUUGUAUGCUCUAAACACAUUCCACAAUUGCAUAUUCAUUAUAAUUAAAUUUAUAAGUUUCAUUUAUGUUAGUUAUUUGUUUUUAGUUCCCAUGCAUUCUUUUAUAGCUUCGUCACCUUCAAGUGUCGGCCAGCAUGUGCAUACCCUGGUGUUUGGAAGAUAUCAGGGUCGGGCAUGUCAAUUUGGUAUCAGAGCAUGGUUUGUUCAGAGUAUACUUAGGAUCUUUGUUACUACAGUAGUGUGUUGGUCAUAACAUUAUUUGGAUGUCACGACUUCCGUAUUUGGUGUCAUUCAGCACAGUUGUGCGAACCUUUCUCUGUUUGAUUUGUCACAUUUUAUUUGAAAUACAAGAAUUCGUGUCGGGAUUAUGCCUCAUCAGUGACGAAAUGGAUUGUUGGACGACUUUCAACAGCGGACCGAUACUUUGCAACAUACGUCCCCUAGGAAUUGCGAGCAUAGUCGGUUUUACAUUGAAAUGACCUGAAUUAAAAAUCUAAGUAAGAGGAAGUCUGGUUAAUACCAGCUGAAGACCCAAGAUGGCGAUGCUACUCUGCAACAUGCGUUCCUUAGGAAUUAUGGGCAAAGUAGGAUCUACAUAAGAGUAUUGGGAAAUGGAAAAAUCUUAGUAGUAUGAGUUGGUUAAGACCAACUAGAGGUUCGAAACGGUGAUGCUACUCUGCAACAUGCAUUCCCUACAAAUGGCGGAUAGAGUCGUAUCUACAUAAGAAUGUUGUGAAACAGAAAAUUUUUGAUGGUAUACAUUGGAUAAGACCAGUUUGAGAUUUGAAACGGUGAUGUUACUCUGUGACAUGCGUUCCUUAGGAAUGGCGGGCAAAGUCACAUCUAUAUGGAAAUUGCUCGAAACAUCUGAAGUUCGUGUUGGAAAGUAAGCAUUAGUCGUUGUGAAGUUUAGUAAGUGUUAGUUUGGUGGGAUCGAAUCAAUGUCCUCUGACUUGUUCCCGCUGAGGAAAUUCGUGUGGAUCCUUAGAACAAUUCUCGACGAUUGUUCUAUCGAUAAUCUUUUUGCUUACUCCAACAACAAGGUCAAGUUCACUAAUCUUUGACUGUUAGCUAUACACCAAAUUCUUCGAGCGUUGGCUUUGUUAAAAAUUAUAUACUUUUCUUGGGAGAUUCUUUGGUAGCAGAUGAUAUUUUCAUCAGUUUCCAAAAGGGGUUACGACUAUUGGAAAUUGAAAAUCCUUACAAGGUAUUGUGAAGUAUGAAAUACCCUUAGUUUUGUCCAUUUCUAUUAGCAGUUCUUAACUAUUCUUUGAGCUUAGCCCUAUUUCCUUUUGGCUAAGAAACCAGUCAAUUUUAUUGCAAUGCUGAUGGUGAACCAAGGUUUUUACAAUGGGGUAUUGUCUCAUCUGAUCGUAGUUCUUACACUUUUCGAAUUCUGCAAUGGUGUAUUAUUAAGUGUUUGGCUGCAAGCUGAUGCAACAUGAUCGAGUUACGCAUGUGCCUUUUGAUGAUUGGAUCUGCAUGAUGUGAACCAUCCUAUCCUUGACCUAGAGCUGAUAACGAUUUUCCUUGCUAUAAAAUUUGGUGACGUUUUCUCUACAUCGAGAAAUGUUGCAUCAUUUUUUACCAAAUAAGUUGUAGUGUGUUUUCACAUAGAAUUAGUUGAGAACUCAUCAGUGAGUUGAUUGCACCUUUACGUACUAUCAUGGUCAGGCAACUAUAGUAGCUAAUGCUUUUAGUCAGAAAUCCCAUGGACAGUUUACCUCUAUCCGAACUAUCCAUGUCCCACUAUCGUUUUCUCUUCGAAGAAUUAGCUUUACUUUGGCGUCCGACUCACGAUGAGUAUUGUCGGCUCACAUUUCAGCGUAUGCCAUGCAUUCUUGCAGUAUUAAAUGGUACCACAAUGUUCAUCCACUUUAUUACUGGUAUUGUAUGAAUGGUAUAUCGAGAAUAUCGAAUUUGUUGAUAGGUGAGUGUCACAUUAGGGUUGCGAACGGAUGCUUGGGUGAGACCCACUUUCAUUUUUAAUUUUGAUUUUUUAUACAAGUAUUUUGGUUUACCCUAUAUUAGUUAUAUAUUGUAUUUUUGACGUUACAAAUGUUUGGUCGAGUCAUUUCCACUUUCACUGGUAAGUUUAGUACGAGUUUUUCGACCUCUAUGUUAGUACAUAUCUAUUUUGAUGUUAUAGUAUUAUACAUGCAUAUUUUUGACCUUACGUUAUUAUAUAUUUUCGACAUUAUAUCUUUAUAAAGUAUGUUUCUCCUUUUAUACUAAUGGGGGAAAAAUGUAUGAGCCUAGAGGUAUCAAAGAGAAGCCAUUGCAACCCGCUCUCGACGGUGUGGUAUAUUCUCUUUGAUGCAACCAAUCUGACUUGAUUUCUUCUUUAUACAUAUAUUCCUUCAUAUCUUCGAGUAUUUAUGUAUAGUACGUUAUUUCAAAUUUCGGGAUGAAUUUUUUUUAACGGGGGUAGAUUGUAACAACCCGUCCCAAAUAAUUUCACGGAUUUUAGAAUGGAAGGGCAUUUUGGUAAUUUCAUUAGAGUUGAGAUAGAUAUUUCGAAAACGCUACUACUUGGGUCUUAAAUGGUGUGCCAAGUGGGGCCCACUUUCCUUUUUGUCCCCCGGCCCAUUUGUACUUCUCUCUUUCCCCUCCCCGUGACAACUCUUGGACCACUCACUCUCUCCAACUCUCUCCAUCAUUGCAUCCCCUUUCCCCCGAGCACCACACACGCACACAUACACCCAUUCCCUCCAUCGAACACCAUCACCCACCACCAUCGUUAGGCCUUGCUCUCUCUCUCUCUCUCUCUCUCUCUCUUCUUUUCUCUAUGAAGCAUAGAGACCACCCAACGUGCUUAACACACCCAUUUGUCGGCAGGUGCUACUUUUUCAACUUGGUAAGGUUCUAAACCCAUUUUCUUCGUCCUUCCCUCAUCUCGAGUUGAAGACUAACUCCCUUGUACAUGUGUUAGAUGCUAAAUCUAUGAAGAAAACUACUCGGGGAAACUUCCCAGUUUUCGACGAGGAACCCGUAGCUUGCAUGUCAUUUUUCGACCAACUUCAGCCACCUCUCGAUUGCUUAUUGGUAUGAAUCUCUUCCUUGUUCCUUAGGCUUCAUUUUGGUAUAUUGUGUGACGGGUUUUAAGUGGGUUUUCAGGUUGAACAGAGCUGGAAAGGCUUCAACUUUUUUCUUCCUCAAAACAGCUAACCAGGCCUGGAAAUGGGUCAAACCCAACUCGAAAAUACUAGAUCGGCCCAACUCGUUCGACCAUGGAACCCUACCUAAUUAGCAAGCCCAAUCCAAUAACCUUGAAAACCAAAUCCAUCAGCCUAAACCCGAAACCUUUUGGCCCAAUAACCGGCCCAUCCCAAAACCCUGGCCAGCGCGUGGAGCACACUAUGCUCUACCUCCGUUCACCGUGGUGCCAGUGACUUUUCCUACCAAUUUUUUUACGAUCGAAAUCGACACAUAGCUAUGCAUGGCAGUUCAGAUCGUCGCCCCAUGGUGGCGCGUGAGGGCGAGUGCGGCAGGAUGUGGGGGUACGUGAGGUUUCCCUUUAUAUUUUUCGAGGUCCUGAAUCCAUUUCUGACAUCCGUUUUCUCAAAUUUAAUCAUUUUUGUAUACCGUUAUUAGUUGGUACCUUUAUGUGCUUAGGUGCAUUUGUUUGUGGCAUUUCCGUAUUCUCUUGUUUGCACGGCUCUUCGACGGCGAAGUAUCUAUGAGUGAACCCCCUCCAAAAUGCAUGUGUUUACUAUUAGAAAUGCAUACAUGAAAGCAUGAUUUUAUGGUUAUGUUAUAUGAAACAUUUAUGAGUAAAUUAGAAUUACACUUUAUGAAAUAUCAUGCUUUAUCGAUAAACUGUUCAAUGAAACAUUUAUGACAUGAUUUUUGAGCUAUUGAGCUCCGAUGAGAUAUAUAAAUAUAUAUAUAUAUAUAUAUAUAUAUAUUUUAUUUUUUUUGGAAAGAUUAUGUUCAUGAUUUUAUGUGCUUACUUAGUGGUUAUCCAUACUAUGAGCCUACGGGCGAUUGAUACUUAUAUUUGGCUUCGAUUGGGUGAUGUAGUGGCUUCGAUCGAAAGAUAUUUAUAUUUGGCUUCGGUCGGGUGAUGUAGUGGUUUCGGUCGGAAGAUAUUCAUAUAUUUGGCUUCGGUCAGGUUAUGUAGUGGCUUCGGUCGAUUAUGAUAACACUACUAAGCAUAUUAUAUAUGAUAUAUAUUUUAUUAAAGGUUUUAUGGCAUGCUAGUGUUUCGAAAAACCUAUUACUUACUAUGCUAUCGAGUUUUCAUAAACUUUGGGGGUAUGUUAGUAAAUAAUUGUUUCAGUAUUACGUACAUAUCAACUUGGUCCAUUCAUGUUUUGUUUUGCGCCCCAUCAGGAUUUAUAUUCGAGGCGUACAAUCUCAGCAUAAAGGCACUCCCGCAUAGGCAUUUUCGAGUCCUCUCGGUGUAAGACCCAUUCCUUUGUUCAUUCAAUUUUAUAUUAUUCCUUUUUAGUGUCUUGGAUUAGUUGUAUGCUAUGAACACAUUCUACAAUUGCAUAUUCAUUAUAAUUAAAUUUACAAGUUUCAUUUAUGUUAGUUAUUUGUUUUUAGUUCUCAUGCAUUCUUUUAUGGCUUCGUCACUUUCGGAUGUCAGCCAACAUGUGCCUACCCUGGUGUUUGGAGGAUAUCAGGGUUGUGCAUGUCAUCUCAUAAGCAAGAAACGUUUAGACUUUGUCUUUUGGGACAUAGUAAUGGCUAGGUACAGAGCUGAGGACGACUAAGACUACCUAUUCAUGGUGGUGGUGAUCUAUGACUCCAAUGUCUUCAAGUCCAACUUGUUGACAAGGUUCACCAGGGACGAGUUUAGCCUUGAGUCCAAGUCCACCAUCAGCGUCGAGUUUGCCGCCCGCAGCUUGGAUGUUGAUGGCAAAGUCAUCAAGGCCCAGAUUUGGGACACUGUUGGUCAAGAAAAGGUUUUUGUAAUUUAUGCUUUGCUAUUUGUGUAAAUGGGUAUUUGGACAUGCCUAAUUGCUAGUUGCUACAUGUAACGUCAUUAAUUCGUAUUGUAAUGAAGAAAGGUUCUCUGUAAUUUAUGCUUUUCGGUUGUUUGUGAAUCAUUAGACCUCAGGUAUUUUAUGGCUUAUAUUAUAUUACUGAAGACUAGGAGACAAUUGAUUAGUGGAAUUUGUAUUUUCAAUUAUGCAUUUUAGUGUUGUUAGGAGAUGUUAAAAUUAAAUUUUAGAUAAUCAAUGAUGAGUUUCUAAGCAUACUUCAUCUUUGUUAACAGAGGUUACUGUCUAAUGGUAAAACAAGCAGAAGAGCUGGUGCAUCAUCUACUCGAAAACCAACUUUAGCUAUGACCAAAUGAGGUUCUGAGAGGAAAAAGAAUUCUGCCUCAAUAAUACUCAGGUUUUUAGGCGUACACGUAGGCAAAAGCCAAUAUAUCAAAUCAAUAUUUUCUAUUAUUUUUCUCCUAGUGUUUGAGUGGUAAAUCUCACUCUUAGCCUUCCAUUGAUCUAGAACAGCUAGUGAUUCACGACCUUCUUCAUCUUUAGAAUCAUUUCUGCUCUCUCGCAUCAUCUUGGAAAUCCUAAUUAACAUGGUCAUAAGUUUCAAACUGUAGAUCAUCUCUCUUAUCAUGGAAAUCAUAGUUACUAUAUGUUCAAGUUCUUGAUUGCGAUUCAAUUCUUGAAAUUCUAGUUCCUAUACCUUCAUAUGGAUUUCAUUAUUUUCAUUGCUUCAAUGUGGGAUGUAACCAACCAAGUAUAAAGAAGGUGAACUUUUAAUGGGUAUUUAAGAAAUAGUUAGUGUUUAGUUUAAAAUAUAGUGAUAGUACUAGUGUUCAGUUUAAGAAAUAAUGAUAGUACCCUUGUUCAGUUCUAGAAAUAUUCAAUGUUCAGUUUAAGAAAUAGUUAGUAUUCAGUUUUAGAAAUAGUCAAUGUUCAGCUUAAGAAAUAGUCAGUAUUUAGUUUAAGAAAUAGUUAGUAUUUAGUUUCAAAAAUAGUGUUGUACUCGUGUUAAUUUUUAGAAAUAGUCAAUGUUCAGUUUAGAAAUAGUGGUAGUACCAGUGCUCAGUUUCAAAAUUAAUGUUGUACUCAUGGAUCGUCGUGGUGGGGCUAUGUCUUUCGAGCGUGUGAAUCAAACUCUCAAUGAAAACACCAAUUUGUGGAUGUAAAUUUCUGCCAUCUUCUCCUUUGACGAAAAUGCUCUUGCAAAAUAAUAACACCUAAGAUUAAGGUCAAAAGCCUCAUGCGCCCACGAUAAAUGGGGGGGCUUUGGCCAAAGAAUCUUCGAUGUCAAAGUUAUUCUGAAAAGAAUGUGUUUAGGAGUUUGUGGGUAGCAAAUGGCCUAACUUUUUAGUGGGAUAAUAUGGGUAUUUAUAGGAGGGUGGCCGGCCCUUAAGGUGGAGAAUGGCCUGCCAUAUAUGGUGGUAUUUGGAGAAGAAUUGCAAGAUAUUAUGUGAAAUAAUAUCUUGCAAUUAACAUGGCAAUUAUUCCUAAAUUAAAUAGGAAGUUUUGGAAGUUACCUUUUGAAUAAAAUCAAUAAGGGAUUGAUGAGGAGUGAUGAGAGGGAUUUGAAUAAAUACCGUAUUGAUCACCUUUGACUCUUCCUUGCCGUUAUUGUCCUUUGCAUGCAUGUGGAAAUCCCGGUGUGUCUCGAGGGUGAUCUUGUAUUUUUCACUCAAAAGUCCACGUAUCACUUCCAAGAUUUUUUGGAAUCUUUUUUGCUCCACAAAUGUCCCACACCUGCUGGGAUAUUCGCAAGAAAAAGCAGUAUGUGUAAAGAUCUCUAACUUUGAUGUAGAUUCCCACUUGGACUUGGAAUUAGAUUCUUCUAGGAAAGGAAAUUAAAUCACCACCAAAGCCUACUUAAGCCUACCUUAAGUAAGGGAUUAAAUCAACUUCGGAGGGUAAUUAUGUAUCCCUACAAGAAAUAGAGAAAGCUAAAGGAUAUUUGUUCCCUCUUCCCUAGCAUUCUUCUUUGCUUACCCUUGCAAAAAAUCGUAUUCCGUUGAUUUCUUUGUCUUCUUCUUGGGUGGUGUUGCCGCUGGGCAGCCAUCAGGCUGGUGCGGCACGUCGAUCGACAAGGGUCAGGAGUUAGCUUAGCAUGGACUAAAGAGGUGGUGUGGCAGGGGCCAUGGCUUGGUUAGAGCCAAGGACUGGCUUGGCAUAGGUUAAGGAAGUGGCGUGGCAUGGCAUGGGCCACUGUUUGGGCUGCUCGGCUUGGUUGGAGCCAAGGGUAGCUGCGUAGCUGAAGUCGUGGCUUGAGGCGUUAGGCUGCAGUGCUAGUAUGUUAGCUUGAUUACUGGACCUUCAAUUGAGAAGAAAUCAUUCAGUUGCUAAAGAUGUGUCAAAGCCUCAUAUUUCUGCUAUUGCUACGUUUGUGCUGCUUGCCAAAAAGAAAGAAAUUACUUAAGUUUGAUUUCUCAAUUGCCGUAGAUAGAGCAAUCAAAGAUGGUGCUGCCAAGAUCGAAACUACUGAAGAUGAAGUGCCGGAUGAGCAAACUGAUGAGUGCGAAGUGGUUGUUGGAGAGCCUAAGGUCAUCCAAGCUGUUAAAUGAGUAGUUUGCUAUGUUUAGCUUGUGUCAGUUUUCGGCGACCUUCAUAUAAGUUUAUCAAUUUGCUAGAAAUUUAAUAAACUGCUUUCUUUGCUUUACUCCAUCUUUGUUUUUCUUGAAACUUUGAUUGCUUGAAGCGUCUUGCAAAAAUUUUAGCCAUAGAACCGUCAGUCGGGCACACUACUUCAAAAAAGGCUAACGAUCCCAUAGAAUCACUAUAGCCUUGAGUUUUGGCUUCUUAGGGCGUCAAGCUGAUGAGUUCGUCGUCGACUGCUACCCCUUGACCAUUUGCUACUUAGCUGGUAUUCGAGUAUUCGAUCAUUUAAGCUAUGUGGCCUGCAUCACAACCUGAUAAAUACCUGUGGAAUUUGAAAAUCGUUAACUAUCACAUCAAAAUGAGUAGUUGUGUCAUGGGCAGUUUACCUCAUUCUGUUGAAGAGUAGACCCAAAUGGGUGUUUGAGAAUUGGUUUAUCCUCUCGCACUGGAGACCUUACUCUGAUGAGUGUCGGGGAAUUGGCUUACCCUUUCGCACUGGAGAGCUUACACAGAUAGGUGUUGGGCAAUUAGUUUACCCUUUUCACACUGUAGAGUAAUUAGUUUACCCUCUUGCACUAGAAAGCUUACUAGAUGGGUGUCGGGGGAUUGGUUUACCCUCUUGCGCUAGAAAGCAUGGAAGUUGUUGUCGUGAACGUAAUUGAGGAAAACUGGACUGCUAGACAACCGAAAUAAUCCUCGGCAUGUGAGGUCUUGUUCGACGAUCUACUUAAGACUUUGAACUAGUUGUAGAGCUCGCUUAAGGGUGUAAGUUGGAAGAGUAGUGAGAUGCUACUGGACCUUCUCCAAGUAUUACGUUAUCCUUAGAUGUUUCAUCAUGUGUUCUUCUGAGGCUUGGUUGGUGGUCAACUGAGAAUCUAAAUAGAUAGCAAGCUUCUUUGCCGCUAAGUCUUUCACUAGUAGAGGCUAAUAGUAAAGCUUUAUAUUCAACUCCGUCGUUGGAUGCUUUGAAGUGUCAUAGGCUUGGUUGGCGAGGUUAGGUGUCGUAGGGCAAAAUCGGCACGGCUGGGAGCUGUGUUGAUAAGUCAUGGGCGGCCGAGAGAUAUGGAGUAGGUCUCAGCAUGGCUAGGAGUCGUGGUGUAAGAUAGGUGUUAUUAUGAGUCGCAAAGCAAGUAGGCUUGGCUGUGAGCGCGGAGUUAGGGUUGGCUUGGACUAGGUUAUGUGUAGCAGAAGGAAUUGGACCACUAAGUCCACGGUGCUUGGCUACUGGCGAUGUGCUGCUCCAGUAUUGAAUCUUCUGGAGUGAUGAGAACGAAACUUACCUUAUGUUCUUAGUAGUUGGAUUAGUGUGUCCUUCUGGUACCCAUUUGCCCAUAAUGUGCCAUUAGGUUGAUUUGUUGCAUUUGUCAAAACAUAAAUAAUCUUUGUAUUCGCAGGUGUAUAUGGAAUGUUCCAUCUACUCAAUUUUGUCAAUGAAAUGCAACUUGCUUAGGUUAGUCAUGUCUCGUCGAAACGUCUUGUAAGUAACUUCGUCGCUUUGGAAAUCGCACAAAUGUUCAGUCAUGAGCUUUUCAACUUUUUUUCUUCUUCAGAAUUUGCCUCUAAUAGAGCUUCUGGUUGCUGCUGGUCCCUGUUGGUCUAGGCUAUCAUUCCCUAUGCGUGGCUCGUCUAUUUCACGGUUGUGGUGCAUGUGGUAUGUUCCUAGCAGGUGAGCGGGCUUCUCACAGGCUACUAGUUGAACUUAAGCGAGAUUGAGUGACUGAUUCUCUUCGUCCAUUGUGCUGCCUACUCUAAUAUAAGAUGAAGGAUGCUCCUUACGGGCCUAGCCAAGAAUAAACACUUCGCCUGUAAGGUUGCUCAUGUUGAUUAUCAAAUUGUGGCCCCAACCGUGAAUGUAUACUCGUCAGUGGGCCUAACCGAGAGUGCACAUUCCUCUGCGCGUUAAAAGAAGAGUAUACGUUAUUUCUGAGGCCUAGUCCAGAGUGUACACUGCUAGAAAACUCUAUUUCGUGGCUGGUCGAAGGGCUGCUUGCCAGAACGCUGCUCGAUAGGUUCGUUGUUUACCCUUAUCCUAUGGCAAAACACCUCGUUUAGGGCACACUGCAUCUCAGUACGCUACAAGAGCUUAUUCACUAAGGUCGUCUGUUGCACGAGGGCGCUUGUCAACUCUAUGACUUGUCGAGACAAGUGUUAUUCGCCAUUUAGGAUAUAAGAGCUUGAACGGUAUGCGUCUUCUUGAGUAAUGGAUGUGUAAUGGACUUCAAGCGUGAGAUUUGAGUUGGGAUAUGUCAAAUCUGCAGAGAAAAUGGGUGAAAAUAACCCUGGUUCAAUUGUCGAUCCAAAAAUCUGAAGUUGGGAUGGUUGAACCUGUCUUGGACUAGUUAGGAUUGCUAGGUAGGCCACAGGAGUGAGCUAGACCAUGGUUGGACCACAGAAGCGGGUUGGGUCACUGAAGCAGGUCAGGUCACUGGCGUAAGCUAGGCCACUAGAGCGUGUGUGCGCUGGGCCUUGGCUUGGCGUUGCAAAAUGGCACUAGUCUAGGCUUGGCGCUGCUCUGUGGCGUAAGCCUAAGCAUGCCAGGCUGCUGUUGCUGGCAUCUGGGCUUGAGCUACUGCAGUGGUAGCAAACUGAGCUGCCUCUAAGGCUUGCGUCUCUUGGGUCGUGGCCUGAUAGUCCCACUGCCUUGAAGCUAGCCUAUUCCCCACUGCCACGGUGCUUCCCAUGGCUGCCAUGGUGGUGGUGCUCCGUGGUGGCAAAGUUUCUCCUCUUGCCAUCGCGUUAAGCCUCGUGGAUCGUCGUGGUGGGCCUACGUCUCUUCAUCCAUCAUUCGAUUCGGAUCUUUGAAGGUACGAAGUUCCGUUCGUUGUGGUUUCCCAAUUUCCCGCCAUUGUAUUUUUCCCUUGCCUCUAUUUAUAGAAUUAAAAAAUUCUAGGAAUAAGAAAGUAAGAAAAAUUUACGAACGAAUGAAAAAUGUUGAAUGCAAGAGUCUUUAUUGAGUGUGUGAAUCAAACUUUAAAUGAAAGCACCAAUUUGUGGAUGCAAAUUUGCGCCAUCUUCUCCUUUGACAAAAAUGCUCCUGCAAAGUAAUAACACAUAAGAUUAACGCUAAAAACCUCACGCAGCCACUAUGAAGGGGGCUUUGGCCGAAUAAUCUCCAAAAGAAUGUAUUUAGGAGUUUGUGAAUAGCAAAUGACCUAGCUUUUUAGUGGGAUAAUAGGAAUUUAUAGGAGGGUGGCCGACCUUUAGGUUGGAGAAUGACCGGCCAUAUAUGGUGGUUUUGGAGAAUAAUUGCAAGAUAUUAUGUGAAAUAAUAUCUUGCAACUAACAUGACAAUUAUUCCUAAAUUAAAUAGGAAGUUUUGGGAGUUACCUUUUGAAUAAAAUCAAUAAGGGAGAGUGAUGAGAGGAAUUUGAAGAAAGAUCAUAUUGAUCACCUAUGACUCUUCCUUGAUUGAGCCGUUAUUGUCCGUUGUAUGUGCGUGAGAAUCCCGGUGUGCCUCGAGGAUAAUAUUGUCUUUUUAACCUAAAAGUCCACGUGUCACCUCAUGAGUUUUUGGAUUAUUUUUUGCUCCACACAUUGCAAUGUCACAAUCGUUUGUGUCUAGAGUUGCUAUCCAGAUCAGGCUCAGUAGUUAGUUGAUUGUAUUAGGUUUUGCAAAUUGAUUGAUUAAUAUCCUUUAUCGCUUGAAUUGUAGUUAUACACUAACUUUUCUGCACUCCCAUAUGCUUGUGCGAUUUAUCACAGGCGUUGCGCUCUGAAAAAUGUUUUAAAUAUAUUUAAUAAUUAUGUAAACGAAAAUGACGUGAUGUUUAAUGUCCUACAUCACAAAUUCACAUAUAAAUACACCAUUUUAAAUUGUAAUCAAAUUAACUUUUACAAAUAUAAAUCAGUGUAGGAAAUUAAUAUAGAUUGAAGGAAAAGGGAAUUAUAUCCGAGUUUGCUUUCGAAAAUCUGUUUGAACUUGUGUUUUUAACCUUAGAUUAAUUUUCUGAACACCUGGAACAGUUUACACUAACAUAAACCAUCACUUUCUGCCAUACAUAUAGAAAUCAAUAGUUUUAAUGUUUGACUAUCCAAAUCUUCAAACAAAAAAAGAAAGAAAAAAAAAACUACAGUUAAUCAAACAUACAGAUCAAAGCAUGGAAUUUUAUGUCUAACCCACAAAUGAAGAGAUGUUACAUCCCACAUCGCCCAGGGGAGUAGAUCCUCUAUGCCUUAUAUGUAUAUUCUCAUAUCUACCUAUCACGAGGCUUUUUGUGAGCUCACUGACUUCAAGUUCCGUAGGAACUCUAACGUUAAGCGAGUUCUUGCGAGAGCAAUCCCAUGAUGGGUGACCCACUGGGAAGUUCUCAUGUGAGUUCCCAGAAACAAAACCGUGAGGACAUGGUCGGGGUCCAAAGCGGAUAAUAUCGUGCUACGGUGGAGUCGAACUCGGGAUAUGGUGAGGGCUAGGCCGAGAUGUGACAAGAGAUCCCCCAUUUGUGAUUCUUCAAGUCAGUUUCCUUCAACCACCAUAAUAAUAAUAAGGAAGUUUUAAUGAAAAGGGUUUGAGCUAAGUUUAUUUUAACAAAAAACUAUUCUAUAAUUUUAUUUAAUAAAAAGUGUUUAAACUUUAAUGCAAGACUUAAAAUUUAAUAAAAAUGAAAUAAUUUUAAUAUAAUACAAAAUAAAAAAUAAUAAAAACUGACGUGCGGGACCCCGUCAUACACACUAUGUCUCCUCCUUUACUAUUUCUUAAACUGAACAUUAACUAUUUCUGAAUUUUAAAAAGUAAAAAAAUUGACUGAAAUUGAAUUCUGAUAUCAAUAGGGGUAAUGUUGUAACUAAACAAAUAAAUGAUCAAAUCAAACAAUUUGGUACCUUGGAUGGGUCAACAUGAUAAAUACAAAUUUAGUGCCUGUCUGGCAUGGGUAAUCUGAGAACUUUCUCAGCGUCUCUGUCGUCAUGUUUUCGAAUUGUGACAGUGGUUUCCUGUCGUAUGGCCAUGGGCAGCACUAAGUAGCAUUCGUAGUCUAUGUGAUCUCUAAUCAAGUUCAUUCUCCAUGAAUCCACCAUCCGACCGCAAAGUCAAAGACCUAGUAAAAUUGAAAACUGAAAUAUUCCAGAGAGAGAUAAAGAGGGACCCACCUAGAGAACGAGUGAAGAGUUAGGGAGCUGGGCCUCAUCGAUCAGGGAGGAGUGGCCAUAGAAGGCAUUGAGGUGUCGUGAAUUGGGACAUGAAUUUUAACAGAGUCUAAAAUGUCAAUUCGAGAUUAGGAAAUCACCCUUGAAUGCUUGGCGCUGGUUUCCAUUGAAGAAAAAGUUGAGAAAGUAAUUGAAAUAAUUUAAACUGAAACGAUAAAGAAGAACUUACAAACUGAAACUUACGGACGGUUGCUUGCCGCUAGAUUCCCAAGGAAGCAAAAUCUUAAGUAGAUACAAUAAAAAAAGAAAACUCAAGUAAGUGGAGCGGUUGUGUUGAGAAAAACGUGGGGGCGGUUGCAUGUGCACAAAGGUGAAGAGGGAGAAGAAGGGAGUUGUGGCUUUUUCUCUUCUUUUUUUUUUUCUCUUUUGUUUUAUAUAUUUUUCCAUGACAAAAAUACCCUUACCCUUUAUCAUUCUAUUUCUUUAGUUGCAAUUUUUUUUUUUUUUUUUUUUUUUGUGAAGCCUUGGACAUUCCUUAAUCAAGCACGCUAGGUGCAACUAUUGCAAAUGUGUCUUCAACCCAAUCAUAUGAUGAUACCUUACAGACAUUUCACAUGUUAAACUAAAUUUGUUUGAUAUAAGGGCAAAGAUUAUUAUUAUUAUUAUUAUUUUGGAAACUAAAUGUUAUAUGCUUGAACAAUAAGUUCAAGGAAUAUGUAAUUAGGAGAAUGUGAUCUAAAGAAGUUAGAUUCAUGAGACAAUUCCCUUUUGUACACAUAUCCUAAACGUUCAUGAUCAUAGGAUUCCCAAUUGGGUACUGACGGUCUGUUAAGACCAGUACGUGCUAUGUCUUUUCUCAGGGAGAAUGACUGGUCUUGAGUCAAUGGAGUGGCUGACACCAAAACAAGUGUGUAAGUGCUCAAUAGAGAAUGAGUCUACUGAACACGAUCAACAAUGAGUUCUCAUACUCAUGUUACAUGAGAACUCAUAGUUAGGAUAAUGCAAAAUAGUCAUUUGACUUGAGGCAUCAUACUUGUGGUUAGGUCCUUGAUCUUUGACUAUGUUAAAGGCACUCGAUAAGAGGGUGUCUACGACAUAGUUGGGGUUAAGCUACUUAAACAUAGAGGCAGGUGAUUAACCUUCAAACCGUUGAGGAAGAAUAAUCUAUGAUAUGAUUAAGAAUCUCUGGAGUAUGAAUGAGAUUUAACAAGUCGUUCCAUAUCACAUUCAAGGUAAUCAUAUAAAAAAGAAAAUCAUAUUGGAUAGUAGACAUGAAUAAACUAUCAAACCAAACAAUGUGAUCAAGAGUACUGUAUUAAAGAAAGACAGUAUUGCAUUUGUAAUCCUAAACUGAAUAGGUUCUCCAACCUCUUUUGAUUAGCUAGGGUAGCUAUGACAUAGUGCUAAGUGUCACUCAUGGUUUGUGGACGCCCUGAAGAUGUUUAAUCACUAAAGGGAGAAUUGAAAGUAAGUUUCAAUUUACAAUCAAUUAGAAAGAGUUUUUAAUCGCCCACCGCCUCUGUAAAAGGAACCUAAUGGAUUGCACACCGUGUAAGGUAAUGAUUAAAGGAAAUAAUGAAGAUGAAUAAGGACAAUAAUUGUAUAUGACAAGGAUUAAUUAAAAGUUAAUUAAUCAAAGACAAAAGGUUCGUUUUAGGCCCUAAGUUAUUUUCAGGUUUCGAGACCCAAAAUGGUUUUGGUCCACAAGGCACAUAAGGUUUAAGUUGUAUAACAACUGAAACAAAAUGAGUAAAUUACCCUAACUAAACACUCAAGACCGGCCAAGAGAGAUGGAUGAUGUUGGUGGACUUAUUACUAGUUUGCCACUCAUUUGGAAUGACUAUAAAAACAACUUUAUAGCUCCAUCUAGGGAUGGCAAUGGUUCGGUUUGGGGACAAAAAUGCUAUAUACAUCCCUAUAACCACGAAAAUUAACGAUAUCCAUAACUGCAAAUUAACCAUCGAGGAUUAUUCAUAACCAUACCCACUGGAUAACAUAUUUCCCAUCGCUUAUUGGUUAUAUCCAUCUUUGUCAAAAACAAAAAAUUAUAUUCAUCCAAUUGGCGCACAAUAAUUUAGUAGAUACUAAUUUUGUCAUUAAAUAGCCAUGUCUAAUAAUAAAUAAAAAAACAUAACAAUGAAUGAAUUUUGUAGAGUAUAAAAAUAAGAGUAUUGAACAAAACAUUGAUGAUGUGAGCUAUUGAUAUAUCCCAUAAGCUUUAUGUUUAGUGCGUAAUGAAAAUAGUAUAGGGUUUAAUGUAUAAGGAAUAUAGUAUAGGGUUUGGUGAAUAGUAUUAUAUUAUAUACUAAAUAUAUUAUGCGGUGAAUAAUGAAUAUGGUAAUAAUGGUAUAGCUUCACACAAAUAUUAUAUAUAUAUAUAUAUAUAUAUAUAUAUAUAUAUAUUAUUUGGUUUGGAUUCGGGGACGGAUACGGAUACGGAUUGGGGGCCUCUAUAACCAUAUUCAAAACCAUAACCAAUUAAAUUCACGGUUUUUCCCCAUAUCCAUAAUAUACCCAAAUUUUCAUACCCAAAUUCGCUUCAUCCGGGCGGUUAUCCAUGGUUAUUGGGUUUAACCAUUUGAAUUGCCAUGUAUAGCUCCAUCCAUCAUUAGGGUUUUCCAAGAGGCAAAGAGAGAAACACAAACUCUCCCAUUCCUCAAGGAGGCUGGCCACCCUAGGACAUUUUAGCUAGCAAUCUUCUUCUCCUAGGUCACUCAUCUUCUUCCUUCACCAAAGAUAUAAAGUUUCUCAACUCUUUUGUGAUUAAAGUUGAGUCUUGGUUCACCACCACUACUAGGCUUUUAAUUUCAUGGUCUAAAUUUUGUUUUAAAGUGCAUAGAAGCAUGCUUCCACCAUUUAAUUGUUAAAUGCAUGCAUUGUGUUGCUUAAUGAAGUUGGGUUUUCAAAUAUUUUCCUUCAAUGACUAACACCUUUUAAAUGUAUGUAUCUACGUGGAUUGCUUUACUUUUUGUUUUGUUUUUUUUUUUUUUUUUUUUUUUUUUUUUUUUUUUUUGCAUUAUGAGACAUAUUAUAAACACAAAAGAAAGGCCAUCAUCAUAUCACAUAAUACAAGCAGAAAUUUGGAAUUUAUAGAAGUCGAGGGGAAAUACCCAAACAAAGGUAAAAGAGUAUCCUAACAUUUAGAACAUUAUAUUUAAGAAGAGACGGAUUUCUAAAAUUAUCCGUGUGUUUUUUGUCCACAAUAUAUUUAAAAAAAAAACAAAGAAAACCCUUAUAAUUUUGUUGCAACUAAAAGCUAAAUAAAAAUUAUUAUAACAAUCCAAGAACCUUAAUUCACCUUGAUACACUUGACAGUGAAACAUAUCCUUAACUCAUAUCGUCCAAUUGAAAAUCUAAUGAGUGUGGUUAAAAUUAAAUAUUAGCAUUAUUUGUAAUGAAUUGCAAUAAAAGUUGAAAAGUGAAUUAACAUCAAAAUAAAGAAUGUAACCUUAUCAUAAACUCGAUGGAAGCAAAAUAUCUUUGUACACAAUAUUUCCUGUGAAGACUUUUUUUUUUUUUGGUUAAAUCCUGUGAAGACUCCUUCGUGAUCGUGUAAUUCUCCUUUCUUUACUAAAACUUUUGUUGUAGACGCUGAAACACCUCUUGAUAAAGCCAUGUACAAUUGUCCAUGAGUGAAACAUGGUUUAGUAAAUAAAUAUCCCCAUUUGGUAUUUGUCUGCCCUUGUGAUUUAUUUAUGGUUUGUGCAAAACUCAAUUUCAUAGGUAACUGUUUUCUCAUCAUUUUGAAUGGGAGUCUAACACUUUCUGUGGUCUUUGAAGAGAUUCAUGGUAAAAACAUUCUAGUUCCAGCAAAUUGUCCAUAUAAGAUUUCAUUGUAAAAGCAAAAUACAAAUUCUUCAAACGAAUCACAAAUGUUAAUCAAAUUCUUCAACGCAAUAACACUUAAUCUACCCUGAAAACUGAAAUAAAUUCUUCUGCUUAUUGCUACUCACCGUUUCCUCUGCAACAUUUAGGGUAAUAAUUAAAAAUUAUAAAAUAAUUUCCAAGACUAUUUGAUACUACUUUCCAAAAGUUUUGCAAUCUCAAUUAACAAAGAAAUAAUCAUAAAAAUGUGAUUUAUUCAUGUAAACGCAUGGUAUUAGCUUACCGUUAAACUACUUCAAGCAUAUGAUAGGAAGUAGCGUGACAUAGUGCGUUCUAAAAAAAUUAUAGCGGACAAGUUGAAACCGGUACCAGGUGGAAUAGCCUACAAUUAAAAAUUCUAUAUAUGCUUGACUGACUAGUCAGCAACACAAGUCAACUAAGACCAAGUUUGGUAGUUAACCUGUAGCGGAAUUAAUCUAUUAUAAACUAGUUACACAUGAUGUUUUUGACCGAAAAAAAUCCACCUCUGGGUUAAAAAACCGAGGACUCUCCACUGAGUCCAAUCCAUUAGUAUAAAUAAGGUUCUUAUAAAGUACCACACAAAGGGACUCUCCACCUUUGUGCAACCUUACUUUGCACAAAAAGAUGAUUCCUUAGGUGUUCACGAAGUGGCAGCUCCUCCUGAGCUCUUCACCUUGUGGCAUAGAAACCAAAUCAACUAGCAAAUGAUGUUAUGAUGAAGCUGAUGCAAAUCUGGAUUCAAUGUCCAGUCAAACAGUUGAAAGAAGAAACUGACGUGAAUCCAAAAUGACGCCAGUUUAAAGAUUUAAAACUAAAAAAACUUGACCAAAAAAUUAAAUCAAAAUUACAAGGAUAAUGCUACCUUAAUAUGCAAUGAUGUGGGUAUUUAGUUCAUGAAUGUGAUUUUGUGGCUAGGGUUUCUAAUGAAGAACAUAAGAGGCAGCUCAAAGCUAAAACACACUUCUUCUUUUUUUUCUAGAAAUCCAAAACACCUAGCUAAAUUGAAAUGAACCCUAGAUUGAUAUUUUAAAGAGGACAGAGGUUUCAGACAAGAAGGGGGAACCAAAAAGACAUUUUUCAUGCGCAAAAGCAAUCUGGAAAGAUCUAGGGUUAAGAAUCUACUAUUGGGAAAAAGUUGUCAGAUGGCCCAUGUGGGUUGUCUUAAAGUGUGACCCAGCUCGGGUGAAAGUAGCGAGAAUAUUUAACUAGACAGAACCCUAGACAUAAUGAACUGGAAAUAUUAGCAUGAAAUGCAUAUGUAUGAACAAACCUUUGAUCUGAGAAGUUAAGCUCUUGAGAGAAUAUUUCCAGCAGCAAGAUCUUAAAAGUGACAUUUGAACCCUACAUCGAACUAGAGCAUGGUGGUACAAUUUACAAGAUUUGACAAGGGAAGCCAAACAAUAAUUCUAGACUUCACAAUCUCUCCUUUUGGCUUUCCUUAACAAAAUAACCCAAACCUAGAACUAAAUUCACUUAACCUCACUCAAGAGAACCCAAAGAACUAAUCCUACAUAAAAGUACUCUUGACAAGAACAAGUGAAACAUUAUCAUGGGUAAAGCAUUUGUAAGGAAUGUAAAUUGUAACAUUGUAAAUGAUUGCGACAAAAGAUUUUUCUCCCCCAUUUUGUAAUGGCAAAGACAAAAGAUUUAAAAAUGGCAUGCCAAUCCAACAAAACUGGGUAAAUUAUUAACCACAUGAAGUGUACAAGUACUAACACAAGGACAUAACAAACAAGAUUAAGCACAAGGUACAAUUCUCGGUACCAAAAUAUUAAAAGCAAUUAACUUGUCCAGAACAACUAAGUUAAUCAAAGAGUAGCACAACCAAUAAGUUACAAAGAGCGUUUCAAUAUGAAGUUAAAAACAAUUGUCCAAAAAUCAACCUAGCAAAAAAUGAACUACCUCAUAAUGUGUGCUAUCGUAAGGACCUACACCACAACAACACUCCCCUAUAAGCUAUAACUCCUCAGAAUGAGACAAUACGUCCAAACGCAUAGAAGAACUAGAUGCAUCAGUUUUAGCAAUCACAUCUUCAUUUGCAACAUUAUUAUCUUCAUCCUCAUCAUCAAAGUACGUAAACUUGACAUGCUUGGCUUUGGAAACCGGAUAAAAAGGCAAUGGUAGAUCAUCAUGAAGAGAAACUCGUUUCCUUUUUACAACAUAAAUAGCAACCAUUUUAGCUGCCACAACACUAGAGUGACUAAACGAAUUAAUAGUAAAGUAGGAGGAAGAUGAUGGAACCAUAGGACAAUGGGGAACCAACUUCGGAGGACGCACGUACAUAUGGCUCGGGUACAAAUGAUGGGGGAUUUAAGGAAGAUUGACUCAAGAACUUAGCAGGAGAGGAAUCACUAAUCUAAGGUAAGGACAUAGUUUGACACAUUGAAGAUUGAAACUCGACAAACUGUCUACGAAGAGAGUUAAUCUCAUAUAGGUAAACAAUUUUUCGUUCUCGAGAAACACUUAGUGAUGGAAGAAGAUGAAGAUCACCAUGAGCGGCGGCACACAUCACGUCACUCAGGUUCAUGAGCCUUUUUCCAAAUCCUUCAUGGAUCGAGCACACAAAUCAUCAAAACGAAAAGGAACACCUACACACUAAGACAACAAAGUGAUAAGACACGGUUGAAUUGGAAAACCCAUUUGUUGCUUACCAGAAUGUUUGGUUUUAGAAAGAAUUGACCUAAAGAUUAAGUACCCAAAUGGAACAUCUGACAGACUCACCAUAACAUGCAAUAUUUUGGCUAACUCUAGAGUAAGAUUUCCAUUGUUUGAUGUGCCCAGAAAAUUUCUACGAAUAAAGUCAGACCAAAUCCUGGAAAACAGCUUAAGACGAAAUUUUGACACUUGAUUCUUAACCAGAGGAAGAGAUGGGUUAACUAGGCUUGACAAUGAUAAGAUUUCAUGUCAAAGUGACAUGUCAGAAGGUUGAAGUUGUACAUAUUAGAAGCAGAAAGGUUCAAGACCUAAGAUAGAAUUAAUAACAGUUGAAUCGAAAUGGACAAGGACUCCAUGGACAUACUCCUCACCACCAGAGUCAGAAAACUUAGAUGAAACAUUUGCAUUAAAUUCUUGAACCAUUGAAAGAUUGAAGGUAGAAGGAGGUGAAGUUACCCAAUGAAGUUUGUACCUUUUAAAAAGAUCAUCGGACAAGAUGGCAUCAGCCACAAAAGGUCAUCCCAGACAAUCGUCUCUCAAGAAAAACCUUCUUGGCAGCCACAAUCACAAAUAAUUUCUUGCCUCGAGAUGUGGGAAACAUGGGUGGCAGAGCAUCUGAAGGUUCAGUAGGGACAUCUCUCGCAAUUUGAGAAUGCAUUUUACAACGAGAAAGAUGAGGUUAUGAACUGGAAUGUCAGGAUGAAGAUAGUUUCAUAGACAUGGCUAAGAGAAUUCUAGUGGCUAAGCGAUGGAGAUCUAGAGGGAAUGAAAUGCCUCGUGGUAAAAAGUGAAAGUGAAAACCUAGAUAGAUUAAAAGAAGUUACAGCUUAGGACACUGUGAAACAUAUCUGGACCAUAGAGAUGACACAAUCAUAUGAGAUGGAAAGGUUAAAACAUGAAGUGCAAAGAUAGAAAUACCCUUAAUGAACACUUCAUUUCUGACAAGUACCAGUGACUGGAUAGAAAAACCAAGCGUGACUUUUUAAACUAGUUUGGUGCAACAAUCAACAACCAUACGAGAAAACACACUUAAACAAAGCACCCUUAGAAAAGAUGAUCACCAUCUUGGCACAAUUAAACUAAAGCUAACUAGAUAGUUCUCUCAGAGAAUGAAAGAGUGAACAACUCUAAUAUCUAUGCUAGGGGUGGGCGCAAUGCGGUUCGGUGCAGUAUCGAGUGAAACCACAACCGAAACCGAAAAUUUUUGCGGUGCCGUUUUGAAGCCAAAACCGAAAUGAAACCAAACCGUUUGGUUCGGUUCGGUGCAGUUUCAAACGAUUUUGGUUUGGUUUUUGAGAAAAAAAUGUACAAUUUAAAAUAUACAUUUAUUUAUGCAUAAGACGGUCCUAUUUUCCUCAUAUAUUAAUUAAUGAAUAUGCAACAAAAUUGUAGCAAAAACAACAACAACAAUGCAACAAAAAACAAUGGCAAAACUGCAAAAAAAAUGCAGCAAAACUGCAUAAAAACAUAGCAAAACAACAAAAAAAAACAGCACCAAAACUGCAGCAAAAAACUCAACAAAGCUUCACCAAAUAUGCACCAAAAAUGUAGCAAAAAACUGCAGAAAAUCUGCCCCAAAAUUGCAACAAAUUGCAACAAAACUGCACCAAAACUACACCAAAGAUGAGUUUUAAGAAGAUGAGUUAAGGAGAUGAAGAUGUGUUUCAACCUUCAGGAGUCGAAGUGCAAAACUAGAUGAUAAUGAUAGUCUAGUAACCUAGUUGAACUAAUUAAAAAUUUAAAAUAUAACAUUUAUUUAUUAAUUUUAUUAUAUGGUGCGGUUUCGGUUUCGGUGCGGUUUUGAAAAUCCAAAACCACAACCAAACCGUUUUCUUUACCGCAGUUCGGUUUCGAAACCGAAACCAUUUCAAAACCGCAAAACCAAACCGUUUGGUGCGGUUUGAUUCGAUUUGUGUUUUGGUUUCGGUUUUCGGUUCCAAGUGCCCACCCCUAAUCUAUGCUUACAAAAGAAAGGCCUAAAUUAGACAAAGACUUGAACUGAAACAUGUAAUGCACUUCUCACAAGAAAAAUCUUCACGAUCACACAAAGGCAGUAAGGCAAAGAUUAACACAAGCUCAUAGUGCAAUUGUGAUGUGUCAAGGUAUGGGAUUGAGAUUGGUGAUAGCCAUCUUCAAAUCAAAACUCCAAACCACUCAACCAAAUAUUAACUCGGAGGUUAACCAAACUUUUAGUAAUCUUUUGAGAUUAAGAGUCAACACUUCCAGCAAAAUGUGAACAAGGAACAAGACACAAAACUACUCACUAUGACAAGCCAAGAUCACAAAGUUUUGAAGGCGGCAAGUGGUAAUGAGAUACACAAGCCAUAAGUAAAGGUUGGUGCACACCUCAAGAAACUUUUGAACUUUUAUGACAAGUGGAGAUAAUUUGAUGAAACAUGACAUUGCAUAGGGGAACACAAUUGAAGGGAUGAAUGUUUGAGAUCCCUUUUUUUGGAUAUUUGAGUAUGUUCCCCAUAAUUGAUGAUAUUGAAGCCCAUAGAGAUAUAUAAGUGGUAUUUGCACUGGAAAUGAAUCAAAGUUCAAAUUAGAGAGAAGUGAGGUCAGUAAACCUCAAUCAAGACCAAAGUAAACUUAAUCCCUAAGUCCCUAAGUCCCUAAGUCAACACAAUUUUUUGUUGAAUAGAGAGAACAUUUUUCAAAGGCUAUCAACGACAAUAUGGAGAACCUUUGACAUCACAAUGGAAGAAUUAUCCAAGAUUAAUCCACAAAAUACAACCAUGUAUGACAGUUAAGAUAUGCAAAUAGAGAGGAAUAGAAUUAUCUGAUAAGAUGUUUAACAUGACAUACAAUAACAUAAACUAAACAUGCAACAUGAAAUUGCAAGCAUAGCUAUUCAAUAUGUUCAAAUGAUGGCACAAAGAUCACUAGACCAUCGAAGAUUUCUAUGCCAUCGAUUGUCCAAAGAACUUGUGAGACAGUUAGCUACCUAUAAUUCAAUUUUUACUAAGAUUAGAACAUAAAACUUUCUUACCUAACCCCCCCCCCCCCCCAAAAAAAAAUAAGCGAACUUAUGUUUCAAAAUCAUUGAUUGUAGAAUUUGUACGAGGCUCUUCCAAAAUUCAAUUUCACAUCCAUGGUCACAAUGAAAACGAACGGCUAAUUGUUCUUCACCAAGAUAUUAUUGAAUAGGAACAACAUCCAUAAUACAAAAACACAAGUAAACAUGACAAGAUCACAAUUCGCAUUUACAUAGGACAAUAAAACAUACCUUUGAUUUCCAAUGCAUCCAGCAAUUAAGAUUUUCUUCAUCUUACCACGAACCUUCAUUAAGGUAUGAGCACUAAGAGUCAUAUCAACCAGAUGAUGAGCAUUUGAGAAUUCUAAUGAAGAAGACUCCGAAGUGAGAUACAACAUAGCGCUUUCCCAAGUUACAAGAUUCACAUAAAUGGCAUUUAGAGAAAUAGAGCAGUGGCAGCCUCCUUGUGACCAAAAGUUUAUCAGUUUCUUUGCUCCAAACAGACCAUUCACCAUUUUUAGGAAUAACAAGAGUGUAGCAGUUGUCAUUUGAUCUAGGAACAACCAGCAAGUUAUUUCCCUUUUUAUCAACCUUUCUUGGAGAAACAGACUUCAUCUACAACAUCAUCACAGAGUUGGCUAAUGCUAAGUAGGCUUGUUGUCAAUUCAGCUACACAAUAGACAUCCUUAAGUUGAAAAAGACCAAGAAUCUUGACUAUCCCAUUUCCAGCAAUAUGAGCCUUAUAACCUCCACCAAACUCAAUCUCAUUACCAUUAUCCGGUAUAAGUGACAAGAAAACAUCAUUAUUCCCAGAUAUAUAACAAGGGCAACCACUAUAAAAAUACAAACAUCUAGUUUUGGAACAAAAUGAGUACAGUGAGCAACUAGACAUUUAUCAGAUCCUUUUUUAAGCCUCCUUGAAACAGACUUGAUAUUAUUAGAGCUAGAAGAAUCAACAAAUUGUGCCACUCUGUUGAUUUCUAUGGUUAGUCGAUCAACCUUAUCCUUCAAGUCAUUCCUCUUUUACAAUGAAUGUUUUCUGCACAUUAGUCGAAUAUGACCAAGUUCACCACAGUGAUGGCAUGUGGGAAUGAAUAUUUUCUUUAAGGAAGAUUUGGCCAUAGAGGCCACAUGCAAUGAUUUCUCCACAGCUUCAGUGUAGGUACACACAGAACUUGAACCUUCUUCAAAAACUAAGAUCACACAUGUCAUGAGAUGGUUUUCUAAUACCCAUCAACUCAUUGAUUGUCUCAUCCCUACUGGUUAUGCACUUUAAGCAAUUGUUAGCCACUUUUAGUUCAGACAUUAACUUCAGGUUAGUAUCGCAAUAGAUUUCAUUACUAGCUCUCAACAAAUGAAGUUGACACAACAGAGUUUCUUGAGAAAUCAUUAGCUUCUAAACUUAAGCUUCAAGUGCAGUAAUAAGAACAUCUUGUUCAUCUUUAUCAUCACAAAUAGAGCCCAUUUCAUUCAGUACCCACAAGUGAAAGCCUCGAAUUAGAUAUUUUUUUCACUCAAAUCAGUUCUGACUAGUUGAAGAGACUCAAUUUCUUUUUGCAGUUCAGUAACUUUCAUAUUCAGGUCAACAUUGUCUAAUUUUGCAACACAUGACUCAUCAAACAAAGAUUCAUACAUAAUGGACAAAUCCUGAUAACUCAUCACUUUGCGAUUGUUCAACACACCUUCAUCAUCACUAGAAAAAGCUCAUUUGACAGAUGUAACAAAGGUAACAACAUUUUUUUUUCACCACCUGAUGACUUAUCAGAAUAGGCAAAAUCUUCAUCCUCACCAUCACUUCAAGGGCCAUCAUGGCUUUUUCACGUUUUUGACUUGACAUUCUGUUGUUUGCACACUCAGCCGCACAAUUUCCACUUCCACCAUAUGCGUAACAGGACCAUGUACACUUGAAAAUGACUUUUCCCUCUUAUCAACAAACUUUUAUUGUUUUCUUCCAAAAUUGAACUUUCCAUAAGGUUGAGUCAUGUGAUUAGUUGAUGAUUUUCCAAUCCUUUUGACCUCUUUGCCCUUAUUCUUGAGUAUCAUUCUGAAUUGUUUAACAAACAAGGCAAGAUCAUUUUUAGGGGAUUAAUCACAUGAUUCAUUUUCAACACAACUCUUUUUCACACUUGAAGAGAAAUUUCUUUACUUUUCUUGGAAUCACCUUUUUCCAUGUCAAGCUUCAUUUCAUAGGUAAUGAGUUUACCCACCAAUUUUCCAAGCUUAAUAUCAUUUAAGUCUUAAAAUUCUUGAAUAGCUGCCUUAUUUGCUUGAAAUCUCUUGGACAAAGUUCUCAAGAUCUUUUGAACAACAGUUGUCUUAUCAAUAGGCUUUUACAUUUUUACUUUUUCAUAGAAGGUCGAGAAGAUCUCUGACUCUAGCAUUCUUAGAUCCUCGAAAUUGGACAAAGUCAUCUGAAGUUUAAGCUCCCUUACUUUUUUGUCCCCUUCAUGCAAAAUUCUGAGUUUGUCUCAAGCUUGUUUUACAGUGGUGCAAUAACGAAUAUGAGCAAACUGAGUUGGUGAGAUGGCUGAACAAUGGCAUUUUGUGCUUUUCUAUUAGCCAUAGCUGAUGUAAUCUCCCCUUGAGUCCACUCACCUUUGGCCUUUACCAUAGAUUCUCCAUCGACAAUCCUCAAAUGAGCCUUCCAAAUCAAAUGUAAGAUAAUCCACAUCAAUAAGAUCUUAUGCCUCCAGAAAGAUUUGAAACUUCUCACUUCAAGUGGCAUAGUUCGUUACAUCAAAAGAACAUAAAAGAGUUGCAAGAUCUAGCAAUGUGAUCACGAUCCAUGGUAAGGUUCCACCAAUACCAAUAACUUCCAGAGAUCACUCUAUAUAUCUAGAGCAAAGCUCUGAUACCAAUUGAAAUUGGUACCAUGUGGAAUAACCUGCAAUUAAAAAUUCUAUAUAUGCUUGACUUACUAGGCAGCAACACUAGUCAACAAAGAUCAAGGUUGUUAGUUAACCUGCAGCGAAAUUAAUCAAUUUAAAAGUAGGUUUACUGAAGUGUUCCUAGUUAACUAAGAUCCAGUUUAGUAAACACUCAAACUCUAAAAGACUUAUUUGCAUAGACAUGUCUAUGUGCAAGUCAUGGUGAACAUGUAUCAUAUACAAAAAGUAAGGUAUAAGACCAAGAAAAAAAAAUAAUCAACAAAAGAUGAUUUUGGCCCAAAAAACCCACCAUUGAGUUAAAAAACCUAGGACUUUCUACUGAGUCCAAUCCACUAGUAUAAAUAAGGUUCUUACAAAGUACCACCCAAAUCUCAAUUUCUAGACCUAGUCUACGAAGCAACUUUACCUUUGUGUAACCUUUAUUUUGCACUAAAAGAGGAUUCAUUCAGUCCUCACAAAGUGGCAGCUCCUCUUGAGCUCUUCACCUUGUGGCAUAGAAACCAAAACAAUUUAUGCAAAUGAUGUUAUGAUGAAGUUGAUGAAAUCUAGAUUAAUCAGUUUCUCCAGUCAAACAGUUAAAAGAAGAAAGUGAUGUGAAUCCAGAAUGAGGUCAGUUUAAAGAUUUGAAACUAGAAAAACUUGACCACAAACUUCAAUCAAAAUCACAAAGACAAUGCUACCCUAAUAUGCAAAGAUGUGGGUAUUUAGUGCAAGAAUGUGAUUUUGUGGCUAGGGUUUCUAAUGAAGUACACAAGAGGUAGCUUAAAGUUAAAAUACAAUCUUUUCUGGAAAUCCAAAACAACUAGCCAAGUUGAAAUGAACCCUAUAUGAUCUUUUAAAUAGGGUAGAGGUUUCAAACAAGAAUGGGGAACAAAAAAGAAGCAAUCUAGAGAGAUCUAGGGUUAUAAAUUAACUAUUGGGAAAAGUUGUCAGAUGGCUCAUAUGGGUUGUCUUAAAGUGUGAGCCCAGCUCGCGUAAAAGCAGUGAGAAGAUUUGAUUAGACAAAACCACUAGACAUAAUGAACUAGAAAUAUUAGUAUGAAAUGCAUAUGUAUGAACAAACCUUUGAUGUGAGAAAUUAAGCUCUUGAGAGAAUAUUUUCAAUAGCAAGAUCCCAAAAGUGACAUUUGAACCCUAAAUCUAACUAGAGCAUAGUGGUACAAUUUACAAGAUUUGACAAGGGAAGCCAAACAAUAAUUCUAGACUUCACACAGGUGAAGUUGUCUAAGAUAAUUAUCAACGACAUAAUGGAGAUUAGAUCAUAUAAAAUUAAGGAUUAAGGCUUAAUUUAGUCAGUUCAUCUUUGGUUGAUUUCUUUAUAAACUGACUAUCAGGUAAACCAUUACUCAACAAAUAAAACAUGUACACAAAUCUCCUAUUAGAAUCAAAAUAUUGUAAGCUGGGCACCUUUCUUAAAACCAAGAAAAAUUAACUUUGUAAAAAUUGAAUUUAAUAAAUGAAAAUACCAACUACCAAAUCAAUUUCAAAAAAGUUUAGGUUUAAAUUCAAAACGCAAGGUUCCUUGCGUGAAAUCCCAAAUCAAUUUCAAAACUCAUGAGUCAGGUUUAAAUUCGAAAUUGGCCAUAUUUUAACUUGGACCAAUACUCUAAAAUUGCUUACCUUGAGUAGAGAGGGUUAUGAAAAAUGUCGUCGUUGGAGGCCCAGCCUUUGACAAGGUUGCGACCCAACUCGCCGAAUUUGGAUGAGCUGGUAGUGGUGGUGGUUCUGAUGUAGGAUAGAGUUUGAGAAGCAAUUUACAGAGUUUGAAUUAGGGUGAAUUGAUGUCGAUGAUUGAGAGGGUUCUAGUGGGAGGGCUUAGCGAGUUUUCAUCGAGAGAAUUCAGGUAAGAGCUUUUGUUAAAGACGCAGAGUGCUAUCGAAAAAAGGAAAUGAUAGCACGCGUGUGUUCCACUGAAGCAUUUUUUGACAUUCUAAUGUGAAGGCCUAAGAAAAAAAUAAGAGAGGAUGAGCAUUAAAAUAGGGCAAAACUGAAAACAUUGUUCAAUGUAUCUCUUUUUUAACAAAUGAUAAGAUAAUCCACAUUAAAUUCAUCUAAACUCAAAAAGCGAGAUUUGAAAAUGAAAGCUCGGAUGCAUGAGUGAAUACUAUUAGCCAACUUAGUUAGAAUUUUAUCACAAACAAUUUUGGUGCAAUUUAUGAAUAAUUAUUUUUCAGAUACGAGACAAUUGGUUUUUAUUAGUACAAACUACAAUUUGACGGAUGCUCACCGCACUACAAUCGUACAAAAUCAGAAAGAAUGCAGAAUCUUGCAACUGCUAGAACAACAAAGUCUUAUCCCACUAAGUGGGGUCCUCAUCUUAUCUUCAAUUUCAACUACUCCUAAUUUACCUUGGAUGUCCUCGUUUCUAAUCUUGUCCUUUCUCAUGUGCCCACACAUCCAAUGAAGCAUUCUCAUCUCCGCUACACUCAUUUUGUAAUGUGUUGAUGUUUCACCGCCCAACAAUCCGUGUCAUAAAGCAUUGAUGGCCUUAUUGCCAUCCUAUAAAGUUUUUCCUUGAGAUUUAGUGGAGUACGACAGUCACACAACACACACGAUGCACUCUUCCAUUUCAUUCAUCCAGCUUGUAUUCUAUGAUGAGGUCGCCAUCCAAUUCUCCAUUCUUUUGCAAGAUAGAUCCAAGAUAACAAAAGUGUUUGCUCUUUUGGUACUUCUUAAUCUCUAAUCCUUACCCUAACUUAUUUGAACCUUCGUUCUCAUUGAACUUGCACUCCAUAUACUGUCUUUGACCUACUUAGGUGAAGACCUUUAGUUUUUAACACUUCCCGACAAAGGUUAAGCUUCACAUUUACUCCCUCUUGAGUUUCAUCUAUCAACACUAUAUCAUUUGCAAAAAGCAUACACCAAGGAAUAUCAUAUUAGAUAUGUCUCGUUAACUCGUCAUUACCAAUGCAAAAAUGUAAGGACUUAAAUAUGAGCCUUGAUGUAUCUUUACAGUUGUGGGAAAGCUUUCAGUUUGUCCUUCAUAAGUUUUUACGGCAGUCCUUACUCUAUCAUACAUAUCCUUUAUAGCUUGGAUAUAUGCUACUCGUACUUUUUUCUUCUCUAAAAUCAUUUGAAGAAUAUCUCUUGGGACCUUAUCAUACGUUUUUUUUCCAAAUCUAUAAAGAUCAUGUGCAAAUCCUUUUUCAAAUCUCUAUAUAUUUCCAUUGAUCUUCGUAAGAGGUAGAUUGCCUCCAUGGUUAAGCGUUCUAGCAUGAACCCGAUUUGAUUGUCGGAGACUCAUGUCUCUUGCUUUAGUCUAUGAUCAAUUACUCUCUCCUAGAGCUUCACUAUAUGACUCAUUAACUUAAUACCCCUAUAGUUCAUGCAAUUUUGUACGUCACCCUUAUUCUUGUAGAUAAGCACCAAGGUGCUUUUUAGCCACUCAUUUGGCAUCUUCUUCAUUUUCAAAAUCUUAUUGAAAAGGUUUGUGAGCCAUGCUAUACCCGUCUCUCCCAAGAAAUUUCACACUUCAAUCGAUGUAAUCAUAUGUCCCCACUACUUUUCUAUGCUUCAUCUUUUUCAAAGCUACAACGACUUCUUCCUUCUUGAUUCGGCAAUAGAAAGAGUAAUUUCUACACUCUUCUCGGUUACUUAGCUCUCCCAAAGAGGUACUAUUUUCAUGUCCUUAAUUGAGAAGAUUAUGAAAAUACCAUCUCCAUAUAUUUUAACCGCAUUCUCUAUAGUUAGAACAUUUCCAUUUUCAUCCUUGAUGCACCUUACUUGGUUCAAGUCUCUUGUCUUUCUUUCCCUUUAUUUUAAAAAAUGGUGGACAAAUGGUGGUAAGUCAUGGUUAUCCACCAUUUUCAAGCCUGGAGAAGCUAUUGGGAAUUCAAGCAGACUCACCAACUCUUAGCAUCGAACCUGGGACCUCCCACAUUUUUUUUCUUUAUUGGGGAGCCGCAAUCCGCGCCUUUACCACUGGCCACUUGUUGUGGUUCUUGUCUUCCUUUCCUUAACUCUAGCUAGUUUAUUAGCUAUUUUAUAUCCUACUCUCUUUCUUUGGUAUCCAAUCACUUAUACAUAUCGUCAAAAACCGCUAGCUUCGUUUCUCUCACGGCUUUCUUCGCCUCGUUCUUUGCUAUUUUAGAUCUUUCACAGUUUUUGUCAGUUAUAUCCUUGUAUAAAGUUUUACAACAUUACUUCUUAGCCUUAACUUUUGCAUGUACUCCUCCUUCCAUCACCAAGAUUCUUUUUGAUGUGGAGCGAACCCCUUGGACUUUCCUAAUACCCCUUUUGCUACUUUUUCAAUACAACUAGCCAUGAAAUCCCACAUAUGGUUAGCGUCUCCCUCUAUAUCCAAAACACAUUGAGUACUUACCUUCUCUUUGAAAAAGACUUGUUUUUCUCCUUUUAGAUUCCACCAUCUAGUCUUUGGACACUUCAAGGUCUUGUUCUUUGUUCUAUCUCUUUUAAUAGGUAUAUCCAUCACCAAUAAGCGAUGUUGGUUAGCCAAACUCUCUCCCAGUAUAACUUUGCAAUUGCAUAAUCUUGCAACCACAUGAGUUUUUUAAACAAGUUUCAGCAACAAUCUUUAAAACUGUAAAAACUUUGGUACUUCCACAGUUUUACUGAUUUAGACGAGACAAUACAACUAUGGAGUAAAACAUCAAAGCAUAGUAAAGUAGACAUUUAGUGAUUACAUAAACAAUAACCAUAAGGCGGAAAAAAAAAAAAAACAUGCUUCAUACAUAAACAACAUCUCCAUUCUUAAAUUCGGGCAACCACAGUUGCAGUCGCUCAUACAAACAUCAUUAGCUCGGGCAUACGACAGUCGCACAACACCCGAUGCACUCUUCUACUUCUUCCAUCCAUCUUGUAUUCUAUGGUUGAUGUCUUCAUCCAAUUCUCCGUUCUUUUGCAAGAUAGAUCCAAGAUAACGAAAAUGUUCACUCUUUUGUACUUCUUAAUCUCUAAUCCUCACCCCUAACUCAUUUGAACCUCCGUUCCCACUGAACUUGCACUCUAUAUACUCUGUCGUUGACCUACUUAGGCGAUGACCUUUAGAUUCCAACACUUCCUGCCAAAGGUUGAGCUUUGCAUUUACUCUAUCUUGAGUUUCAUCUAUCCACAUUAUAUCGUCUGUGAAAAGCAUACACCAAGGAAUGUCAUCUUGGAUAUGUCCUGUUAACUCAUCCAUUACCAAUGCAAAAAGGUAAGGACUUAACGAUGAACCUUAAUGUAACCCUACAGUUGUGGGAAAGCUUUCAGUUUACGGCAAUCCUUGCUCCAUCAUACUUAUCCUUUAUAGCUUGGAUAUAUACUACUUGUGCUCUUUUCUUCUCUAAAAUCAUUUACUACUUGUACUCUUUUCUUCUCUAAAAUCCUCCAAAGAAUAUCUCUUAAGACCCUGUCAUACGCUUUUCCAAAUCUAAUAAAGACCAUGUGCAAAUUCUUUUCCGCUUCUCUAUAUCUUUCCAUCGAUCUUAAUAAGAGAUAAAUUGCCUCCAUGGUUAAGCGCCCUAGCAUGAACUCGAAUUGAUUGUUGGAGACUCAUAUCUUGACUUAGUUUAUGUUCAAUUACUCUCUCCCGUAGCUUCAUUGUAUGACUCCUUAACUUUAGCAAUUUUAUACAUCGCCCUUAUUCUUGUAGAUAGGCACCAAAGUGCUUUUUUGCCACUCAUUUGACAUCUCUUCGUUUUCAAAAUCUUAUUGAAAAGGUUUGUAAGCCAUGUUAUACCCGUAUUUCCCACGACAUUUCACACUUUGAUCCCUAUAAUCAUCUGGGCCCACUGCUUUGCUUCAUCUUUUUCAACUCUACAACUAGUUCUUCCCUCUUGAUUCGACUGUAGAAAGAGUAAUGUUUACACUCUUCUGAGUUACUUAGCUCUUCCAUAGAUGUACUCUUUUCAAAUCUACAAAGAAGUACUAUUUCCAUCUAUUUUAACCGCGCUCUAUGUAGCUACAACAUUUCCAUUCUCAUCCUUAAUGCACCUUACUUGGUUUGAAGUCUCUUGUCUUCCUUUCCCUAACUCUGGCUAGUUUAUAUCAAACUCUCAUUCUUUGGUAUCUAAUCGCUUAUACAUAUCGUCAAAAGCCGCUAGUUUUGCUUCUCUCACGGCUUUCUUUGCCUCCUUCGCUAUUUUAUACCUUUCACGGUUUUCGUCAGUUCUAUCCUUGUAUAAGGCUUUACAACAUUUCUUCUUAGCCAUAACUUUUGCACGUACCUCCUCCUUCUACCACCAAGAUUCCUUUUGAUGUGAAGCAAAACCCUUGAACUCUCUCAUAUUGGCUAGCGUCCCCCUCUAUAUCCCAAACGCAUUGGAUGAGCACUUUCUCUUUGAAAAAGACUUGUUAUUCUCCUUCUAGAUUCCACCAUCUAGUCUUUGGACACUUCAAGGUCUUUUUUUCUUCUUCUAUCUCUUGAUGUGCACACCAUCACCACCAGCAGUAUGUAAUGUUGGUUAGUCAAGCUCUCUCUCGGUAUAACUUUGCAAUCCUUACAAGUUAUCCGUUUGUGUUUUUGAUGACCUACUCUUGUAGGUGAUCACAUGCUCCUCUCUUCUUAAGGAAAGUGUUGGCAAAAAAGAGAUCGUAUCUCAUUGUAGAAUCUUGCAACCAAAUGAGUUUUUUAAACACAUUUCAGCAACAAUCUUUAAAGCUGUAAAAACUUUGGUACCUCAACAAUUUUACUGAUUUAGACGAGACAAUACAACUAUGGAGUAAGACGGCAAAGCAAAGGUGACAUUUAGUGAUUACAUAAACAGCAACCAGAAGGCGAAAAAACAAAACAUGCUUCUUACAUCAACAGCAGCUCCAUUCCUAAAUCCGGACAGCCACAGCAGCAGCCGCUCAUACAAACAUCAUUAGCUCGGGCCUGGUAUAUACGUUAUGCUCCUCAUCCUCAAGCAUCGGGUACGAUGCAACAAGAGCAUCUUGAGCUCCAAUAUACAGUGAGUUGUAAAUCUUCCAGUACACCUCUCUAACCUUCCUAGCAGGAUGGAACAGCCCCUGGAGACAGUAGUUGAGCACAACCGCAGCACCUAAUGCCACUCUCAUCCCUUCAAUUGCUUCCAUGACUGCGUUGAUAACGUGUGGGGAUGUCUCAAAUAUGUUUGGCCAGACGUAGUUCAGCAAGUGGACUAAAGCGUCCUCGCAUCCCAAUCCCGCUACUCCCAGAGCCAUGUGCUUUACAGCAGAAGCGGCAGUUUGUCUGUGAACCAGAUCUCUAUCCAUGAGGGCAUCCUCAAGCAACGGGGUCACUGCAUAGAUAUAGUCUUUCCCCAUUUCACCGAUGUACUCAAACAAGAACGAGAGGGACUUCAAAACACCAUUCUGCACAUUAAGCUCUGGAACACGAUACUCAUUCAUCAGGGCCGGAAGAACUGUGAAAGGCGAACAGGUUUCAGCUACUAUUGCGAUUGCCACAGUGGUGCAGACACGGUUCUGACGCUCCUGCACUUUGAGAUUGUUCAAUAGAGUUGCGAGGACAUCUUGUGGACCAAUGGCUUUGGCAAUGUAACCAAAAGUAUUCACUGUAGCUCGCCGGAUACCCUUCUUAUGAGCCUUGAGCAUCUCAAGAAGCUCAAAACAGAUCCUCAUCCACUCCCUUGCUGGAACAAACUCAGCACCGCGAUCAGCAAUACGACCAACAAGGUCAAUACAGUUCUCCUGGACUUUCUCAUGCCUAUUCUUCAAAAUUGGAGUCAACCUGGGAAGCAAAUCCUUUAUAGGAGGAGUCAUCUUUGUCAUACCAAUAACAUUCACAAUUGCCUUCAGCGCUCCCAGAAUUGAUCCCAAAACUUCUGGAUACUCUUCUCCCAAAUACUCAUACAAGACAACACCAAGAUGACCCAUCAGUUGCUCCUCUUGGCACUGCUUCAUGACAACAGCAAUUCUCGAAAUAAGAUCUGCAGCUUGCUGUCUGACCUUUGCACUCUUGUUAUUCAAACGCCACUUAAUGGUACCACAAAUCUGAGGAAGGUAAGGUUUCACCCUCAGACCAAGAGAAUUCACAACUGCACCAAAACCAUUAAGCAUCACAUUUGCAUCAUCACUGGUCUGCUCUUGGAAAGCAUAAAGGAUACCAUCAAUGAGAAGCUCCUCCAACCGAGCAUCAAUGUCAGAUGCACCCAAGUUCACAACCACCUUCUCGAUUGUCUCCAUAACCAUUCUCCUAUACGGUUCACUCUCAUCUUUGAGAUCCUCAACAAUUCUCCCAACUAUAUCAGCAACACCCACUUUGUUUGCUAUCUCUACAGUUGUUUCCACCAAUUGCCUGUAGUUUCUCCUAUCCAAAGCCAUCCUUCUAACCCAAAAGUUUUUAAAGAACUCAGGAAGAAUAUCACUUCUUAUAUACUCCGGCUCUACACCUUCUGUACUCACACACUGUUUGACAACUUUGAGCACAAUUUUCUUCAUCUCUUCAUCAGGAGACUGAAACUCUCUAAUCAAAACAACCAUCACUUCCUUUGUAUAGUAACUUGCAUACAUUGCAUCCAUAAGGGGAAUAAUAAAACCAAUUGCCUUCAAGAAGGCAGCCAAAACCUUACCACGGUGAGACCUAAUACCCUUCCACAAUGGCUUCAACACAGAGUCAAAGCUCUCAAUACCGUAUGGGGCAGCUGCCUCAGCAAGAGCAGCAAGAGAUAGAGCAGUAAUUGUCCGAACCUUCUGAUUUUCAUCGCUCAGACCAUUCUCUAUAAUUUCCACAAGGGACCUCAAGUGGGGAAGUACAGCACACCCGAUCAAAAUGGCAAUCUGCUGAACAAUCUUGAUUCCAGUGUGCCGUGCUUGCCACGACUUCUUGCUCUGACACACAGCUUUCAAAAAGGGCAACAGUGCAGGUAUACCAAGUGCAGAAGCAACAACACUAAAAGCUCUGGCAGUAGUGUUCCUAACAUAUUCAUCAAUGUUAUCAAUAUCCGGACGCAUGGCCGCAAUCAUAGUGGCCAAACCAGCUGCUUUACUAAGAUUGGAGAUAAUUUCUCUCCCUUCAACACGCGCAUAAUAGUCUUCAUCAAUCAACAAAGGUUCAAUAACAACAAGAAUCUUAUGCACAUAAGGACGUACCAACUCAUCCAAUUUAUAAAGCACUCGAUCAAUAACCUUAACCAAAAGAUGCCUCUCUUGGUCUUCCAAAGUGGGUUGCAUAAGCAGAGGCAAAAUGCGGUUAAACAAGGGGCCAGCACCAAACUCACGAGCCUUAUCAGUAAGCUGCCUCAAUGCUGUCUUUCUCUGCUGUGGUGUUCCAUUCUUAACUUUAAGCAGAAGCUUCAUAAUCUUCCGCUCUUUCUGCUCAUCAGGGGACAAUUCCUCCUCCUCAUCUUCAUUCAGCAAUGCCCCAAAGUAUUGAUAGUCCUCAGGCUUCAUAAACGGUAACCCACCAGGCAACUCCUUAGGCACAUCAAACUGCUGCCCACGAUUCUCUUCCGGAAUAGAAUACAUAGGAGUCCCCAUUGGAGUGGGGGUAGCAAGAAGUUUCCUCGCCGGAGUCCUAAUCGGCACAUAAGAAGACGGUGGGUCCAAAACUUUAUACCCUUCUUGAGGAAACAUAGCAUCCAGCUCUUCAUCAGUCAAUGGUCUAUUCCUCUCUUCAAUAUCCUUCUCCCACCUCAAUAGAUUAUACUGCUCUGGCGUAAUGGCUCCCCUCACAUUAAUAGCCCCGGGGGUUGGGGUAGCAAGUUCAACUCCACCUACAGGGGUCACACCAGGUGUAUAGGCAGCAGCAGGGGUUGCCCCAGCCAUUGGGGUCGCACUGCCCAUUGAGGCAGGGGUCUCAUCCCACCUUGACCUCUGCCGUUUCGGUGUCGGUGUGGCCAUCCCAGGAAGCUUCGGAGUCGCAUCCCAAGCCAUCCCAGCAGGGGUGGCACCGGGAGUGACAGCACCAGCUGGAGUAGCAUCCGAAUCUGCCACCCGCCCCGGAGUGGGUGUCUCAUCCCAGCGGUUCCUCCUCCCCAGUGAUGGAGUCGAAUCCGAAACCCUCCCUGGCGUCGGAGUUGCGUCCCACUUUCCUGGCGUCGUAUCCGGCAAGUCCCAAUCCGACGUUUUUGCCUUCUUGCCUCCACCAUCACCAUCCUGAGACUGGUCCCACCGAUUCCUCCUCUUUUGAGGCACCGCCUCAGCAGCAGCAGGCUUAUCCUCCUUUUCCGGCGGCGCCUCCUCUUUCUCCUUCAUCUUCUUAGCAAUAAGCUUCAGAGUCUCAUCCUUCUCCCUCUUCAGGGCUUCCUCCCUCAUCACAUCGGCAUAAGUCCUCACCGACGGGUCCGGAGUCUUCUCCCCGGACGCAAACGGGUCGUGCCGCUCAGGCGAUAUGAUCCGGUUCAACCUCCGCUGUCGAUAAUCAUCCUCCCGAUCGAUAAUCCUCUGCGGCUUCUUGAACCCCAAAUCCUCAUCGGCGUCGCCGCCUCUCGGCCUCUCGUUCAACACCGACUUGGGCGCCGUGUACGACGCCGCCAUCCUCCGAGCAAUCUCGUUGUCCAUGGCCUCCGCGUUGUCAUCGUCGUCGUUCACAGGGAUCGACGAGACGUAUGCGCCCUUGUCGGUGCCGCCGUAGAGGUCUGUGUCGAAGGUGACGGAGGUGAGGGAGGCCAAUUGCUUCUCCAUCCUCUUCCUCUCUUCCUGCGUCUUCUCUAUCUCGUCGUCGGAUGCCAUAAUUAGGGUUUUGGUAUCGAGAAAUUGAUACUAGGGUUUGAGCGGGGAUUGAGAUUUUAAUUCAGG